UGCGCAGGCGGGCUUUUAAGUCAGUGGUGAAAUCCCGAGGCUCAACCUCGGAACUGCCAUUGAUACUGGAAGUCUUGAAUUUGGUUGAAGUGGGCGGAAUGUAGCAUGUAGCGGUGAAAUGCUUAGAUAUGCUACAGAACACCGAUCGCGAAGGCAGCUCACUAAGCCAAUAUUGACGCUCAGGCACGAAAGCGUGGGGAGCAAACAGGAUUAGAUACCCUGGUAGUCC
rnacentral:rRNA from 1 species